GGAUGAACGCUGGCGGCGUGCUUAACCCAUGCAAGUCGAACGAGAAGUGAAGACGGAAACCUUCGGGCGGAAGGCUUUAUUUCGAGUGGCGGACGAGUGAGUAACGCGUGGGUAACCUGCCUCAUACAGGGGGAUAACAGUUGGAAACGACUGUUAAUACCGCAUAAGACCACAGCACCGCAUGGUGCGGGGGUAAAAACUCCGGUGGUAUGAGAUGGACCCGCGUUCGAUUAGCCAGUUGGCGGGGUAACGGCCCACCAAAGCGACGAUCGAUAGCCGAUCGGAGAGGAUGACCGGCCACAUUGGGACUGAGACACGGCCCAAACUCCUACGGGAGGCAGCAGUGGGGAAUAUUGCACAAUGGGGGAAACCCUGAUGCAGCGACGCCGCGUGAGUGAAGAAGUAUGUCGGUAUGUAAAGCUCUAUCAGCAGGGAAGAAAAUGACGGUACCUGAGUAAGAAGCCCCGGCUAACUACGUG
rnacentral:rRNA from 1 species